rnacentral:rRNA from 1 species
GAUGAACGCUGGCGGCGUGCCUAAUACAUGCAAGUCGAGCGGCAGCACGGUCUUCGGACUGGUGGCGAGCGGCGGACGGCUGAGUAACGCGUAGGAAUAUACCCCAAAGUGAGGGAUAACUGCCCGAAAGGGUGGCUAAUACCGCAUGUGGUCUUCGGACUAAAGCCUUCGAGCGCUUUGGGAAUAGCCUGCGUAAGAUUAGUUAGUUGGUGAGGUAAUGGCUCACCAAGGCGACGAUCUUUAGCUGGUCUGAGAGGAUGACCAGCCAGACUGGAACUGAGACACGGUCCAGACUCCUACGGGAGGCAGCAGUAGGGAAUUUUCCACAAUGGGCGAAAGCCUGAUGGAGCAACGCCGCGUGCAGGAUGAAGGCCCUCGGGUCGUAAACUGCUUUUAUGUGCGAAGAAUAUGACGGUAACACAUGAAUAAGGGUCGGCUAGCUACGUGCCAGCAGCCG